AUGGGAACGCGAAGAACCUUACCUACUCUUGACAUCCAGAGAACUUAGCAGAGAUGCUUUGGUGCCUUCGGGAACUCUGAGACAGGUGCUGCAUGGCUGUCGUCAGCUCGUGUUGUGAAAUGUUGGGUUAAGUCCCGCAACGAGCGCAACCCUUAUCCUUUGUUGCCAGCGGUUAGGCCGGGAACUCAAAGGAGACUGCCAGUGAUAAACUGGAGGAAGGUGGGGAUGACGUCAAGUCAUCAUGGCCCUUACGAGUAGGGCUACACACGUGCUACAAUGGCGCAUACAAAGAGAAGCGACCUCGCGAGAGCAAGCGGACCUCAUAAAGUGCGUCGUAGUCCGGAUUGGAGUCUGCAACUCGACUCCAUGAAGUCGGAAUCGCUAGUAAUCGUAGAUCAGAAUGCUACGGUGAAUACGUUCCCGGG
rnacentral:rRNA from 1 species